CCCUUAGAUGUCCUGGGCUGCACGCGCGCUACACUGGAAGUUACGGAUUGAGAUACUACCUUGUCCGAAAUGGUCCGGGUAAUCACCUAAAAGCUUGUCAUAAUUGGAAUGGAUUAUUGUAACUAGUAAUCCUGAACGAGGAAUUCCUAGUAAGUCCCAGUCAACAGCUGGUACUGAUUACGUCCCUGCCCUUUGUACACACCGCCCGUCGCUACUACUGAUUGGACGUUUAAGCAAGAUUUUUAAACACUGACAGUGUGUAGUUCACGCUAUACUACAGUGAGAAGAAGAAGGUCGAGCUUACUUGUCUAGAGGAAGUAAAAGUCGUAACA
rnacentral:rRNA from 1 species